ACACACACACACUGCAGAGCUGGAGGCGCUGCGAUUGGAGAAGCAGCAGUCACAUGACCAACUGCAGGAAGCCAAAGAGAGUCUGGAGAAGCAGCAGCACAAGUUAUCGGAGCUGAUGGAGAUCUGUCGGCAGAAAGACGACGUCAUCAACGAGCUGCAGGCAGCCAUGGACGCCACGGUGGAGAACGCCACCAGAGACAGGUCUCUGGUGGAGUCGAUUCGGUCGGAGCUGCUGGAGCUUCAGCAGAGGGCCGGAAGAGACGGAGCAGC